GACGAACGCUGGCGGCGUGCUUAACACAUGCGAGUCGAACGGAAAGGCCCUGCUUUUGUGGGGUGCUCGAGUGGCGAACGGGUGAGUAACACGUGAGUAACCUGCCCUUGACUUUGGGAUAACUUCAGGAAACUGGGGCUAAUACCGGAUAGGAGCUCCUGCUGCAUGGUGGGGGUUGGAAAGUUUCGGCGGUUGGGGAUGGACUCGCGGCUUAUCAGCUUGUUGGUGGGGUAGUGGCUUACCAAGGCUUUGACGGGUAGCCGGCCUGAGAGGGUGACCGGCCACAUUGGGACUGAGAGACGGCCCAGACUCCUACGGGAGGCAGCAGUGGGGAAUAUUGCACAAUGGGCGGAAGCCUGAUGCAGCAACGCCGCGUGCGGGAAGACGGCCUUCGGGUUGUAAACCGCUUUCGCCUGUGACGAAGCGUGAGUGACGGUAAUGGGUAAAGAAGCACCGGCUAACUACGUG
rnacentral:rRNA from 1 species